CCCCGCCCACUGUGUUCUAUAGACCCCCACACGCUCCGCCCACAAGCGGUGAAUGCCUGUAGGGAAGGUCAGGUGGAUGGCGGGAGGUUAUGUGGACUGUCACUGCCAUAUCACAGCCGAGGAGUUCCUGGAGGACACAGAUGACAUCAUCAUCAAAUCAAGAAAAGAUGGGAUCCAGGCUCUCGUUUGCGUUACAGAACACGCAGCAGAAUUUGAAAGACUUGUCCAUCUUUCAGAAAGGUUCCCUGACUUUGUAAUGCCAUGUCUUGGGAUACAUCCUAUUCAGACUACAGCAGCGGGACAGCGCAGUGUUAUGGUCAAGGAUGUGGAAGCAGUUCUGCCUGAGUUUGAUAAGUACAAGGACAGUCUAGUCGCUAUAGGAGAGAUCGGGUUAGAUUUCACCCCUUGGCUCGCUCCUUCCUCGGAACAACGAGAACAGCAGUUAAAAGCGUUCCAGAUGCAGCUGGACAUUGCGAAACGACUGGACCUUCCCAUAAAUGUGCACUCGCGGUCUGCUGGGAGGCAAACAAUCGCUUUUCUGAAGGAGCAGGGUGCCCAGAAGGUGCUGCUUCAUAACUUUGCUGGACGGCCCUCUGUGGCCCUGGAAGGCGUCCAGGCUGGAUACUUUUUCUCCUUCCCCCCAGCGAUCGUUAGGAAUGACCAACGGGCCAAGCUAAUCAAACAGAUCCCUCUGGAAAACCUCUGCCUAGAGACGGACUCUCCAUCCCUAGGACCGACGAAGCAGCAGGAACGGAAUAUCCCAUCAAACAUCGGUAUUUCUUGUCGUUACAUCGCGUCUGUGAAAGGACUUCCACCCGAGUUGGUGUGCGAAGCGACCGCGAGUAAUGCUCUGAGGCUCUUCCCGAGGGUCGCCCACAAAUUAAAUAGCUAACCGGUUCUAGGAUUCGGAUAACUGUGCAGGGAAGUCGCUCCACUAGCUUCAAUCCGUUUGGUUUACUAAAUGAAAAUAAAUGUAGAUCAUCCAUGUUUACAUGAUACGGGAAACAUCUGGCCUUCCAGAAAGGAAAUAGUUGGAUCAUACGCUAGCAUGCCAUUAAAAAAAAAUGGAACGUUCUGUUACAGAAGUUUGCAAAGAGCCUUGAAUCGAGCUGAUAUGAUAUCACGUCUACAAGCCCGAAUCGGUGUCAGCCCAGGCUCCCGCUAACCUUGUCAAGACAUGCGGCGACGUUUAUACGCCAUGACCUGAAGAUUUAUAAUAAACCAGGAGAGAGCAUCAUAAAACAUGAUUGCCUUGCCGUUGGCUGACUUUAAAGCAGGUCUGGCCUUUGCAGUGUACUAACAAGCCAUUUCAUAUCUCUUUUGGGCUUAUGCCCAACACACACACACACACACACGC